rnacentral:rRNA from 1 species
AUUGAACGCUGGCGGCAUGCUUUACACAUGCAAGUCGAACGGUAACAGGCCGCAAGGUGCUGACGAGUGGCGAACGGGUGAGUAAUGCACCGGAACGUGCCCAGUCGUGGGGGAUAACGCAGCGAAAGCUGCGCUAAUACCGCAUACGAUCUAUGGAUGAAAGCGGGGGACCGUAAGGCCUCGCGCGAUUGGAGCGGCCGAUGUCAGAUUAGGUAGGUGGUGGGGUAAAGGCUCACCAAGCCGACGAUCUGUAGCUGGUCUGAGAGGACGACCAGCCACACUGGGACUGAGACACGGCCCAGACUCCUACGGGAGGCAGCAGUGGGGAAUUUUGGACAAUGGGCGCAAGCCUGAUCCAGCAAUGCCGCGUGCAGGAUGAAGGCCUUCGGGUUGUAAACUGCUUUUGUACGGAGCGAAAAGGCUUCCACUAAUACUGGGGGCUCAUGACGGUACCGUAAGAAUAAGCACCGGCUAACUACGUGCCAGCCGCCGCAGUAAAAC